UACGGGGGGGGCAAGCGUUGUUCGGAAUUACUGGGCGUAAAGGGCUCGUAGGCGGCCAACUAAGUCGGAUGUGAAAUCCCCAGGCUUAACCUGGGAACUGCAUCCGAUACUGGAUGGCUUGAAUCCGGGAGAGGGAUGCAGAAUUCCAGGUGUAGCGGUGAAAUGCGUAGAUAUCAAGAGGAACACCUGAGGUGAAGACGGGUUGCUGGGCUGACCCUGACGCUGAGGCGCGAAAGCUAGGGGAGCAAACGGG
rnacentral:rRNA from 1 species